rnacentral:tRNA from 2 species
GGCCGCGUAGCCAAGUGGUAAGGCAGGAGUCUGCAAAACUCCUAUGCGCCGGUUCGAUUCCGACCGCGGCCUCAA